AGCAGGAAGGCUUGAGAUACACAACCCAUAUCUUUAAGGCACUUUCCAUCUGGUAGAGAAACGGAAAUUUUACAGAGGAUGAAACUGAGGCACAGAGAAGUCAAGCAUCUUGUGCAGGGCCACGCAGCCUGCUCCAGAGCCGGGCUCUGACCCUCCACAAGAGCCAUCACUAAAGUUCCACUUACCACUGCACCUUCAAUCUCUUCCUCUCUCCAUCCCUCCCACAUGUUCACAGACAAAAUCUUCUUCCUUAUUUAAUAAAACAAUAUAAUGACCAGCCUGGCAAA
rnacentral:lncRNA from 1 species